UACGUAGGGGGCAAGCGUUGUUCGGAUUCAUCGGGCGUAAAGGGUGCGUAGGCGGCGCGGUAAGUCGGGUGUGAAAUCUUGGAGCUUAACUCCGAAACUGCAUUCGAUACUGCCGUGCUUGAGGACUGGAGAGGAGACUGGAAUUUACGGUGUAGCGGUGAAAUGCGUAGAUAUCGUAAGGAAGACCAGUGGCGAAGGCGGGUCUCUGGACAGUUCCUGACGCUGAGGCACGAAGGCCAGGGGAGCAAACGGG
rnacentral:rRNA from 1 species